rnacentral:rRNA from 1 species
UCGCUAACGUACCCCUAUGUCCGGGAUAGCUGAGGGAAACUUCAGGUAAUACCGGGUGAUAUCAUCGUCCCGCAUGGGAUGAUGCUCAAAGGGCAACCGCAAAGGGAGCGGGCGAUAUCGUAUCAGCUAGUUGGUGAGGUAACGGCUCACCAAGGCAAUGACGCGUAGCCGGACUGAGAGGUCGGCCGGCCACAUUGGGACUGAGACACUGCCCAG